GUUCUGGUAGCCUAAUUUAAGGCAUUGGUCUUGUAAACCAAAGACUGGAGGUGAAACUCCCCCCCAAAACAA
rnacentral:tRNA from 1 species